rnacentral:snRNA from 1 species
CAAGAGUGUGUCAGUCGACACUCC